CCCAGCCAAAACCAACCCACCUCACCACAAGUGUCCUUUGCCAAUUAUUCGGAUUCGGAUUCCGAUUCCGAUUCCGAUCCCGAUCCCGAUCAACCCCAUACCGAAUAACACCCUCGAUUUUGCCUCAUUCCUGCAGUGAGGUCUGUGACCGGCCGUUGAAGAACAAUUGCGGUCAUUAUUGCUUGUUGCUGUGCCACCCUGGGCCGUGCCCUUCUUGCGCGAAGCUGGUGAAAGCCAAGUGCUUCUGCGGGAAAAUUGAAGAUGUUCGGCGCUGCGGAUUGAAAUUGUUUUCGUGUAACAAUUUCUGUGACAAGUUAUUGGAUUGCGGGAUUCAUAAGUGUAAAGAGAGGUGCCACGAUGGAGAUUGUCCUCCGUGUCAGGCUCGCGGCUUUUAUGGAUGCUACUGUGGAAGGAAGAAAGAGGAGAGGAAGUGCUGUGAGAGGGGAUUUCAAUGCGAGAAUCCGUGCGAGAGAUUGUUGGGGUGUGGGAAGCAUGUGUGUGAAAGAGGGUGUCAUUCAGGGGAGUGUGGACUGUGUCCUCUUCAGGGGAAGAGGACUUGUCCAUGUGGGAAGAACGUGUAUGAAGGAAUCGCUUGUGAUGUCGCAGUGCCGCUUUGCGGUGGUACUUGUGAUAAGAUACUGAGUUGCGGUUUACACAGGUGCCAUGAAAGAUGUCAUAGAGGAGGUUGCAUUGAAACUUGUAGACUUGUGGUGACCAAAUCGUGCCGGUGCGGGGGCUUGAAGAAAGAGGUAAAUAACCAGUUUAGGCUCUUGUCAAUGAUUGCAUUAACCAAAUCGUGCAUUGCUAAAUUUAAUCAUUUUACAACGUGGUAUUAUGUUUUUUUUUUAUUGGCGAAUUGUAGUGGAAAUACUCUUGCUAUGUGUCAGGGUUUGGGUGUUUUGUUAUAUACAUUAUCUUUUUUUUUUCUUUGGCCACUUAUAAAGCUUUUGUAAGUUCAGUUGGGAAGGUUUAACUGAAUUUAGAUUAGGUUCCAUGCUAUCAAGAUUUGACCUGUGAGAGAAAGUGUCAGAGAAUGAGAGAUUGUGGACGCCAUGCUUGUAAACGACGCUGCUGUGACGGGGACUGUCCACCAUGUGGAGAGAUUUGUGGUAGGAGGCUUCCAUGUAAAAAUCACAAAUGCCCAGCACCAUGCCAUCGGUAUGUUUGCUUGCACUAGCUAAUCAUAUAAUGUUAAGUUAGAGUUCAUUGCAUAUAGAAUGCCUAAGAUUAGUUGCAGCCUUGAAGGAUCCAUAAGGUAGUUUAUUAUUUAGCUAAUGAGAAGUUGUGAAUUAUGAAUAAUAUUUAAUUUAUAAACUGUGGAAUAUCUUGAUAGUUGAUUUUGUUGUUGUAGAGGUGCCUGUGCUCCUUGCCCUCUAAUGGUUACAAUCUCAUGUGCUUGUGGUGAGACACACUUUGAGGUUCCAUGUGGUAUUGAGAUGAAUCAAAAGCCUCCUAAGUGUCGAAAAUUGUGUGGUAUACCUCCUUUAUGCAGGCAUGGAUCAGACAGCAAGCCACACAGAUGCCACUAUGGAGCAUGCCCUCCUUGUCAGUUACUUUGUGAAGAAGAAUAUCCAUGUGGCCAUACAUGCAAAUUGAGAUGUCAUGGUCCAAGACCACCACCUAAUCCAGAAUUCACAUUGAAACCGAAGAAAAAGAAGCCAAAUCAUCAGAGUGAAUGUACUCCUGGGACUUCCUGCCCUCCUUGCCCAGAACUUGUUUGGAGGUCUUGCGUAGGCCAGCACCUCGGAGCAGAGAGGAUGAUGUUCUGCUCGAACAGGGCACUGUUUUCUUGUGAUAAUUUGUGUGGCAAUCCUCUGCCUUGUGGCAAUCACUAUUGUACGAAAACUUGUCAUGCUCUUAAGAGCCAGUCCCAAAAAUCAUUGGCUCAGCGCAGUGGUGAGCCUUGUGAAGAGUGCCAUCUUCCUUGUGAAAAGGAGAGGAAGCCCACUUGCCCACAUCCCUGUCCUCUUUCAUGUCAUCCUGGGGAGUGCCCCCCUUGCAAAGUGCUUGUGAAACGGGCUUGUCACUGUGGUUCUAUGGUCCAUGUUUUCGAGUGCAUAUACUACAACAGCUUGUCAGAAAAGGAGCAAAUGACUGUCCGCUCAUGUGGUGGAUCCUGUCACAGGAAGUUGCCCAAUUGUACACAUUUAUGCCCGGAGACCUGUCAUCCUGGUCAAUGCUCGCCAUCUGACAAAUGCAGCAGAAAGGUUACUGUCCGUUUUCAAUGCCAAAAUUGAGAAAAGAGUGGCUAUGCCUAGAUGUUCAAGCAACCUAUCACAAAGCAGGUCGUGAUCCCAAAGAUGUAUCUUAAAAAUCACUUUGGAAUUGGACUUCUUCCUUGAAAUUCUGAUUGCAAGAGUAAAGGUUGUGGAUCAGGAAUUGCAUUUGCACAAGUCAAAAGAUUUGGAGGUACCCUUUACUUCAACUAGAAUUAUUCAAUUUGUGUUGUGUGAUUCAAUUUGCUUGGCAUAUCAUACUGGAAGGUUAUAUUGAUAGCUUCCCAAGUAUAAAUUCAACUGAUCUUGAUGGCCAGCUCAGGGAACUAUUCUUUAAAUAGCACCAUUUUAUGAUAACAAAGAAAUGACCCUCAUUGAAGGAAGCCUGAUACCGAUUAAGAACAUAUCAAAUUGUAGAAAACGAUGUGAAAAAGUACAAGAAACAAAGCAGAUUUCAAAACUUCAGGUAUUAUUAACUCGGCUGAUAUUAAGCAAGUAGUUACAAACGUCCUCUUUGUGUAAUUUAAUAACCAUUCUUUUGGGACAAACUUGUUGCCUCCAUGAAGUGGUUUCAUCUAGUAGUCAUCCUUUUGGUGACUCGGGUGUCAGCCACAUAUUUUGGUUACAACAGUUUCAUGUGGCUCGCUGAUUGGAUGAAUGAAGUAGAAGAACAAAGACAAAGGAGAAGAUGCCCACGAAUCUAAUUAUUCUCAAGCUGUCACUUCUUCAUAGAAGUUCUACUUAUGAAGUGAGCAUAAAAGAGUGCAGAAUAAUGAAGCUGUUUGUGAUCAUAAUUGAAAGAACUAGACAAGUUGGUUAGGAUAAAUGUUAUCAGUACAGAUUUUUGUCAAAUACACGUGAAGUGGAAACCUAAUUAUGAAUUGAAUUAAUUUGUUUUCCAGAAUUUUCUACUUGGUGAUUAGCUCUGGUCACCCAAGAAGAAAGAUACAAUAGACAUGAGGCCCCCAGACAAAAUGAAGAAGGACGUGCUGUUUAGGUCUUUAGUGUUUUUCCAGUAAAGUUAAAAGACUGCCCUAUAGUGUGAUUUGGACACUUGUAACAAAAGCUGAUGAAGACACACAGGAGUCAGUAUCGACCUUCAAACCUAGUCUAUUUUGCACGUUUGACUUGGUCCCUUAAUAUUUUUUUUACUUCUUCCACUCUCUUACUUGGGCGAAACGUCUACAAUACUAAGUAAAAGACAAAGGUGGGUUCUGAACUUCAGUCAAUGGCGUAGAGUUGCUACUUUUCUUGUGUGGAUGUCAUCAUAUAAUGAGCCCAACGAUUCUAAAUAUUACUCUUUGUUUGGACGAUGAUUU
rnacentral:misc_RNA from 1 species